rnacentral:rRNA from 1 species
CCAGACUUGCCCUCCAAUUGUUCCUCGUUAAAGGAUUUAAAGUGUACUCAUUCCGAUUACCGGGCCUCGGAUGAGUCCGGUAUCGUUAUUUUUCGUCACUACCUCGGCCUUCGGCCAGUGGGUAAUUUGCGUGCCUGCUGCCUUCCGUAGAAGUGGUAGCCGUUUCUCAGGCUCCCUCUCCGGAAUCGAACCCUAAUUCCCCGUUACCCGUCAAAACCACUGUGGGCGUCUAUGCCACAGUCGACAGUUGAUAGGGCACACUUUGGGCUGAUCGCACGGACUCGUUCCGGCGACGUGUCCUUCCAAGGUGUGCCCUAUCAACUGUCGACUGUGGCAUAGACGCCCACAGUGGUUUUGACGGGUAACGGGGAAUUAGGGUUCGAUUCCGGAGAGGGAGCCUGAGAAACGGCUACCACUUCUACGGAAGGCAGCAGGCACGCAAAUUACCCACUGGCCGAAGGCCGAGGUAGUGACGAAAAAUAACGAUACCGGACUCAUCCGAGGCCCGGUAAUCGGAAUGAGUACACUUUAAAUCCUUUAACGAGGAACAAUUGGAGGGCAAGUCUGGUGCCAGCAGCCGCGGUAAUUCCAGCUCCAAUAGCGUAUAUUAAAGUUGUUGCGGUUAAAAAGCUCGUAGUUGGAUCUCGGCGGGCAGGGGGUGGUUCGCUCUUCAGCGCUACUGCCCCGCUUUGCCCGUGUGAUUGGCGGAGGUUUCGGGGUGCUCUUCGUUGAGUGACUCGGAGCGCCGUCAGGUUUACUUUGAAAAAAUUAGAGUGCUCAAAGCAGGCUUUUCACGCUUGAAUAUUCGUGCAUGGAAUAAUGGAAUAGGAACUCGUUUCUAUUUUGUUGGUUUUCGGAAAUCGAGUUAAUGAUUAACAGGGACAAUUGGGGGCAUUAGUAUUCAGACGACAGAGGUGAAAUUCUUGGACCGUCUGAAGACUGACUACUGCGAAAGCAUUUGCCAAGAGUGUUUUCAUUAAUCAAGAACGAAAGUUAGAGGUUCGAAGGCGAUCAGAUACCGCCCUAGUUCUAACCAUAAACGAUGCCAGCUAGCGAUCUGCCGAGUUUUUUUUGUAGGCUCCGCAGGAAGCUUUCGGGAAACCAAAGCUUUUGGGUUCCGGGGGAAGUAUGGUUGCAAAGCUGAAACUUAAAGGAAUUGACGGAAGGGCACCACCAGGAGUGGAGCCUGCGGCUUAAUUUGACUCAACACGGGAAAUCUCACCAGGCCCGGACACUGGAAGGAUUGACAGAUUGAGAGCUCUUUCUCGAUUCGGUGGGUGGUGGUGCAUGGCCGUUCUUAGUUGGUGGAGUGAUUUGUCUGGUUAAUUC